rnacentral:rRNA from 1 species
AAUCAACGCUGGCGGCGUGCCUCAGACAUGCAAGUCGAACGAUUAAAGCUCUCUUCGGAGAGUGUAUAGAGUGGCGCACGGGUGAGUAACACGUAAGUAAUCUACCUUUGAGUGGGGAAUAACCCGGGGAAACCCGAGCUAAUACCGCAUAAUGCAGCGGCAUCGCAAGAUGACAGUUGUUAAAGGAGCAAUCCGCUUAAAGAGGAGCUUGCGGCAGAUUAGCUAGUUGGUAAGGUAAUGGCUUACCAAGGCUACGAUCUGUAUCCGGUCUAAGAGGACGGUCGGACACACUGACACUGAAUAACGGGUCAGACUCCUACGGAGGCAGCAGUCGGGAAUUUUGGGCAAUGGGCGAAAGCCUGACCCAGCAACGCCGCGUGAAGGAUGAAGUAUUCGGUAUGUAAACUUCGAAAGAAUAGGAAGAAUAAAUGACGGUACUAUUUAUAAGGUCCGGCUAACUACGUGCCAGCAGCCG